rnacentral:rRNA from 2 species
GUUGACCUCGGAUCAGGUAGGGAUACCCGCUGAACUUAAGCAUAUCAAUAAGCGGAGGAAAAGAAACCAACAGGGAUUGCCCUAGUAACGGCGAGUGAAGCGGCAACAGCUCAAAUUUGAAAGCUGGCCUUCGGGUCCGCAUUGUAAUUUGUAGAGGAUGCUUUGGGUGAAACGCCAGUCUAAGUUCCUUGGAACAGGACGUCAUAGAGGGUGAGAAUCCCGUAUGUGACUGGAAAUGUUAACCUAUGUAAAGCUCCUUCGACGAGUCGAGUUGUUUGGGAAUGCAGCUCUAAAUGGGAGGUAAAUUUCUUCUAAAGCUAAAUAUUGGCGAGAGACCGAUAGCGCACAAGUAGAGUGAUCGAAAGAUGAAAARCACUUUGGAAAGAGAGUUAAAAAGCACGUGAAAUUGUUGAAAGGGAAGCGCUUGCAAUCAGACUUGUUUAAACUGUUCGGCCGGUCUUCUGACCGGUUUACUCAGUUUGGACAGGCCAGCAUCAGUUUCGGCGGCCGGAUAAAGGCUCUGGGAAUGUGGCCUUCACUUCGGUGAAGGUGUUAUAGCCCAGGGUGUAAUACGGCCAGCCGGGACUGAGGUCCGCGCUCGGCUAGGA